rnacentral:rRNA from 1 species
CCUACGGGAGGCAGCAGUGGGGAAUAUUGCACAAUGGGGGAAACCCUGAUGCAGCGACGCCGCGUGAGUGAAGAAGUAUUUCGGUACGUAAAGCUCUAUCAGCAGGGAAGAAAAUGACGGUACCUGACUAAGAAGCACCGGCUAACUACGUGCCAGCAGCCGCGGUAAUACGUAGGGGGCAAGCGUUAUCCGGAUUUACUGGGGGUAAAGGGAGCGUAGACGGUUACGCAAGUCUGGAGUGAAAGGCGGGGGCACAACCCCCGGACUGCUUUGGAAACUGUAUAACUGGAGUGCAGGAGAGGUAAGUGGAAUUCCUAGUGUAGCGGUGAAAUGCGUAGAUAUUAGGAGGAACACCAGUGGCGAAGGCGGCUUACUGGACUGUAACUGACGUUGAGGCUCGAAAGCGUGGGGAGCAAACAGGAUUAGAUACCCCGGUAGUC